AAAGGCAUUGACUUGUCCGGCCGGUUGCGUGGAAAUUGCCUUACGCAUCGUCUUCUCCCCUGACCUUCUCGGCUCCUCCUUAACUUUUCCGUUCCCCAAUCACCGCCAUGGCAUCGACGAUGGGGCGGCUCUGGUUCGUCGAGAUUUCUAGCCGUUUUGGAGGAAUUAAUGGAGGAGGAGAUCAUGAUUCAUUGAUUCCCAAGAAAUCUCUCCCCAAUUUGCAACGGCAAAAGAUUGAAGAAAGUGGGAAAUCAGCAGGGGAAUCGCCGAAUCGGCAACAACACGCAGUUGGGCAGGGACAUGAAGGCGGCCGGCGCAGCGGCAACAACGCCCGACGGCCAGCAGCAAGGGCCAGCACGGCAUCAUCUUGGCUGCAGCCUCCAGGUGCAUUCGUUUCAACUUUUAAUUGUAUGUCCUAAUUCAUUUUGUGUAGUGCCAACAUGUCAUUGAGAAAGUAUAUGUCACAAGAGAGAUUGAAUGCCUCAACAAAUUUUAGAAAAAAAUGGUUUACAUAAUUCUUGUCUAUUUUGCAAGUCAAUACAAGAUCAGAGUACAAGCUGGAGUGUUGGCAGGAGACCUGGAGUGCAAGAGCAAGCGUGAGCAGGAGCACGAGCUAGAAUUUGAGCUGAAAUGCAAUAAGAUGUGAGUAGCGGCCAAAAUUGUAUUCAAUGAUUAAAUUUCUAUGAAAUAAAACAUCAGAAAUCAUCUCUA